GGCUAUACAGCUCACUAGCAGAGUGCAUGCUUGGCGUGCAUGAAGCCCUGGGUUCAAUCCCUAGUAACCCCA
rnacentral:tRNA from 1 species